UACAGAGGUCUCAAGCGUUGUUCGGAUUCAUUGGGCGUAAAGGGUGCGUAGGUGGCGCGCUAAGUCAGGUGUGAAAUCCCACAGCUCAACCGUGGAACUGCCUCGGAUACUGGCGGCCUCGAGGGAGGUAGGGGCGUGCGGAACUGUGGGUGGAGCGGUGAAAUGCGUUGAUAUCCACAGGAACUCCGGUGGCGAAGGCGGCACGCUGGACCUUUUCUGACACUGAGGCGCGACAGCGUGGGGAGCAAACAGG
rnacentral:rRNA from 1 species